rnacentral:rRNA from 1 species
UUGGGCCUAAAGCAUCCGUAGCCGGCUCUGUAAGUUUUCGGUUAAAUCUGUACGCUUAACGUACAGGCUGCCGGGAAUACUGCAGAGCUAGGGAGUGGGAGAGGUAGACGGUACUCGGUAGGAAGUGGUAAAAUGCUUUGAUCUAUCGAUGACCACCUGUGGCGAAGGCGGUCUACCAGAACACGUCCGACGGUGAGGGAUGAAAGCUGGGGGAGCAAACCGGAUUAGAUACCCGGGUAGUCCCAGCUGUAAACUAUGCAAACUCAGUGAUGCAUUGGCUUGUGGCCAAUGCAGUGCUGCAGGGAAGCCGUUAAGUUUGCCGCCUGGGAAGUACGUACGCAAGUAUGAAACUCAAAGGGAAUUGACGG